AAUCCUACGGGGCGUAGCAGUGAGGAAUAUUGGUCAAUGGGCGGAAGCCUGAACCAGCCAAGUCGCGUGAGGGAAUAAGGCCUGACGGGUCGUAAACUUCUUUUGCCGGGGAGCAAGGGCGGGGACGUGUCCCGGCCCGGAGAGUACCCGGAGAAAAAGCAUCGGCUAACUCCGUGCCAGCAGCCGCGGUAAUACGGAGGAUGCGAGCGUUAUCCGGAUUUAUUGGGUUUAAAGGGUGCGUAGGCGGGCUUUUAAGUAAGCGGUAAAAAUUCGGG
rnacentral:rRNA from 1 species